UGGGGUGUGGUGUAAUUGGCAACACAGCAGUUUCUGGUACUGUUAUUAGGGGUUCAAUUCCUCUCACCCCAG
rnacentral:tRNA from 1 species